rnacentral:rRNA from 1 species
GAUGAACGCUGGCGGCGUGCUUAACACAUGCAAGUCGAACGGGAAUUAUUUUAUUGAAACUUCGGUCGAUUUAAUUUAAUUCUAGUGGCGGACGGGUGAGUAACGCGUGGGUAACCUGCCUUAUACAGGGGGAUAACAGUCAGAAAUGACUGCUAAUACCGCAUAAGCGCACAGAGCUGCAUGGCUCGGUGUGAAAAACUCCGGUGGUAUAAGAUGGACCCGCGUUGGAUUAGCUAGUUGGUGAGGUAACGGCCCACCAAGGCGACGAUCCAUAGCCGGCCUGAGAGGGUGAACGGCCACAUUGGGACUGAGACACGGCCCAGACUCCUACGGGAGGCAGCAGUGGGGAAUAUUGCACAAUGGGGGAAACCCUGAUGCAGCGACGCCGCGUGAAGGAAGAAGUAUCUCGGUAUGUAAACUUCUAUCAGCAGGGAAGAAAAUGACGGUACCUGACUAAGAAGC